UACCUGGUUGAUCCUGCCAGUAGUCAUAUGCUUGUCUCA
rnacentral:rRNA from 25 species